UACGUAGGGUGCGAGCGUUAAUCGGAAUUACUGGGCGUAAAGCGUGCGCAGGCGGUUUUGUAAGCCGGAUGUGAAAUCCCCGGGCUUAACCUGGGAAUGGCAUUCGGGACUGCAAGGCUGGAGUGCGGCAGAGGAGACUGGAAUUCCUGGUGUAGCAGUGAAAUGCGUAGAUAUCAGGAGGAACACCGAUGGCGAAGGCAGGUCUCUGGGCUGACACUGACGCUCAUGCACGAAAGCGUGGGGGAGCAAACAGG
rnacentral:rRNA from 1 species